rnacentral:rRNA from 1 species
UACGUAGGGGGCGAGCGUUGUCCGAAGUUACUGGGCGUAAAGAGCGCGUAGGCGGACCCUUAAGUGAGGGGUGAAAGGUUCGGGCUCAACCCGGAGAGUGCCUUUCAUACUGGGGGUCUUGAGUGCGGGAGAGGCAAGUGGAAUGGUCGGUGUAGCGGUGAAAUGCGUAGAUAUUGCUCGGAAGGCCGGAGCCGAAGGGGCCCUACUGGUACGCAACUGACGCUGAGGCACGAAAGCGUGGGGAGCAAACAGG